rnacentral:rRNA from 1 species
AUUGAACGCUGGCGGCAGGCUUAACACAUGCAAGUCGAGCGAGCGGCGGACGGGCGAGUAAUGGCUGGGAAACUGCCUGAUGGAGGGGGAUAACUACUGGAAACGGUAGCUAAUAUCGCAUACCAUCAGAUGGGCCCAGAUGGGAUUAGCUAGUAGGUGGGGUAAUGGCUCACCUAGGCGACGAACCCUAGCUGGGCUGAGGGGAGGACCAGCGACACUGGAACUGGUACACGGUCCAGACUCCUACGUGAGGCAGCAGUGGGGAAUAUUGCACAAUGGGCGCAAGCCUGAUGCAGCCAUGCCGCGUGUGUGAAGAAGGCCUUCGGGUUGUAAAGCACUUUCAGCGAGGAGGCGUUACUCGCAGAAGAAGCACCGGCUAACUCCGUGCCAGCAGCCGCGGUAAUAC